rnacentral:rRNA from 1 species
GAUGAACGCUGGCGGCGUGCCUAAUACAUGCAAGUCGAGCGAACAGACGAGGAGUUUGCUCCUCUGACGUUAGCGGCGGACGGGUGAGUAACACGUGGAUAACCUACCUAUAAGACUGGGAUAACUUCGGGAAACCGGAGCUAAUACCGGAUAAUAUAUUGAACCGCAUGGUUCAAUAGUGAAAGACGGUUUUGCUGUCACUUAUAGAUGGAUCCGCGCCGCAUUAGCUAGUUGGUAAGGUAACGGCUUACCAAGGCAACGAUGCGUAGCCGACCUGAGAGGAUGAUCAGCCACACUGGAACUGAGACACGGUCCAGACUCCUACGGGAGGCAGCAGUAGGGAAUCUUCCGCAAUGGGCGAAAGCCUGACGGAGCAACGCCGCGUGAGUGAUGAAGGUCUUCGGAUCGUAAAACUCUGUUAUUAGGGAAGAACAAAUGUGUAAGAAACUAUGCACGUCUUGACGGUACCUAAUCAGAAAGCCACGGCUAACUACGUG